AGGGAUCAUUACCGAGUGAGGGCCCCCGGCCCGACCUCCAACCCUUUGUUGUACCACCUGUUGCCUCGGGGGCGACCCGGCCUCCGCGCCGGGGUCCCCGGUGGACCGCUCCAACUCUGUGUCUGUACGUCGGAGUGAUUAGUGAAUCAAUCAAAACUUUCAACAACGGAUCUCUUGGUUCUG
rnacentral:misc_RNA from 1 species